AAAGCUACAGGGGUAGCUUUCCUGAAGAGUGCAAAAACUUCUUUAGCUUUCAAAAUGGUAUAUAGUACAAACAGUGAAGCUAAUAUAGACACAUCUGAUCAUUCAUCAUCAACAAUAACUGCAUCUGAGAAUUAUAGUUCUACAGUAACCGUGGAGUCUAGGUCAACAAUUACUAUUUCUCAUCCAAGCCGUUUUUGUUUAACUGCUACACAUUCCCUGACUCUGCCAAGGAAAAGGGUAAAAUCAAAAUGAUAUCCUGAGGACCUAAGCACUGAUGAUUCCACCGUUUCAAGAGCUUAAUCACUUGUCACCAGAUUAUGGAAAAAAAAUAAAAAACAAAAAAUUAAAAUUCGAAGAUUGCAACAAGCAAAUUUGCGCCAAAGAAAUUAAAUUAGAUGUCUCAAGUCAUUAUUAAAAUACUUACAUGAAAUAAUAACAUGAUUUUAUGGAAAAGCCCAACAUACUACAUAUUUUAUUUG